AUAUAUUCGUAGAAGAAGAAAGUAGCAUAAAGGAAUUUUACAGAGAGUUAGAUUUGGCUGAGAACUAAUAUUGGAAUUUAUGUGAAAAGGACUUUGGAGAAUACUAUUGUAAUUAUGUUAGAAUAGUGGUUUAAUUCGCCUUAAGAAAAUGAGUGAGUAAAAUUAAUUUUUACUAAUAAGAGUGGUAACACGGAUUUAUAUUCGUCUCUUGG
rnacentral:ncRNA from 1 species